GGGGCAACCCUGGUGGCGAGUGGCGAACGGGUGAGUAAUACAUCGGAACGUGUCCUGUAGUGGGGGAUAGCCCGGCGAAAGCCGGAUUAAUACCGCAUACGAUCUACGGAAGAAAGCGGGGGAUCCUUCGGGACCUCGCGCUAUAGGGGCGGCCGAUGGCAGAUUAGCUAGUUGGUGGGGUAAAGGCCUACCAAGGCGACGAUCUGUAGCUGGUCUGAGAGGACGACCAGCCACACUGGGACUGAGACACGGCCCAGACUCCUACGGGAGGCAGCAGUGGGGAAUUUUGGACAAUGGGGGAAACCCUGAUCCAGCAAUGCCGCGUGUGUGAAGAAGGCCUUCGGGUUGUAAAGCACUUUUGUCCGGAAAGAAAACUUCUCCAUUAAUACUGGGGGAGGAUGACGGUACCGGAAGAAUAAGCACCGGCUAACUACGUGCCAGCAGCCGCGGUAAUACGUAGGGUGCGAGCGUUAAUCGGAAUUACUGGGCGUAAAGCGUGCGCAGGCGGUUCGUUAAGACAGAUGUGAAAUCCCCGGGCUUAACCUGGGAACUGCAUUUGUGACUGGCGAGCUAGAG
rnacentral:rRNA from 1 species